GGGGUACUCGAGUGGCGAACGGGUGAGUAACACGUGAGUAACCUGCCCUUGACUUUGGGAUAACUUCAGGAAACUGGGGCUAAUACCGGAUAGGAGCUCCUGCUGCAUGGUGGGGGUUGGAAAGUUUCGGCGGUUGGGGAUGGACUCGCGGCUUAUCAGCUUGUUGGUGGGGUAGUGGCUUACCAAGGCUUUGACGGGUAGCCGGCCUGAGGGGGUGACCGGCCACAUUGGGACUGAGAUACGGCCCAG
rnacentral:rRNA from 1 species